AUAGUACUCCCUCCGUUCCAUAAUUCUUGUCGAAAUCUUACAUGUAUCUAGACACUUUUUAUGAAUAGAUGCAUCCAUUCUUGAGCAAAUUUGAGACAAGAAUUAUGGAACGGAGGGAGUAUGAA
rfam:Brachypodium distachyon strain Bd21 chromosome 3, whole genome shotgun sequence.